rnacentral:rRNA from 1 species
UACGGAGGGGACUAGCGUUGUUCGGAAUUACUGGGCGUAAAGCGCACGUAGGCGGAUUUGUAAGUCAGGGGUGAAAUCCCUCGGCUCAACUGAGGAACUGCCUUUGAAACUGUCGGGCUUGAGGCCGGGAGGGGGUAGCGGAAUUCCCAGUGUAGCGGUGAAAUGCGUAGAUAUUGGGAGGAACACCGGUGGCGAAGGCGGCUACCUGGACCGGUUCUGACGCUGAUGCGCGAAAGCGUGGGUAGCAAACAGG